rnacentral:rRNA from 1 species
GAUGAACGCUAGCGGCAGGCUUAAUACAUGCAAGUCGAGGGGCAGCAUGGUGUAGCAAUACACUGAUGGCGACCGGCAAACGGGUGCGGAACGCGUACAGAACCUUCCUUCGAGCGGGGAAUAUCCCAGAGAAAUUUGGAUUAAUAUCCCAUCGUACAUUAGAGUGGCAUCACUUUGAUGUUAAAGAUUUAUCACUUGAAGAUGGCUGUGCGGCGGAUGAGGUAGUUGGCGGGGUAACGGCCCACCAAGCCUGCGAUCAGUAACUGGUGUGAGAGCACGACCAGUCACACGGGCACUGAGACACGGGCCCGACUCCUACGGGAGGCAGAUGUAAGGAAUAUUGGUCAAUGGACGAAAGUCUGAACCAGCCAUGCCGCGUGGAGGAUGAAGGUCCUCUGGAUUGUAAACUUCUUUUAUAUGGGACGAAAAAAGGCUUUUCUAGGUCGUCUGACGGUACCAUAUGAAUAAGCACCGGCUAACUCCGUGCCAGCCGCCGCGGUAAUAC